CUUGUAUUUUCAAUCUUUCUAGCUUGGAUUUUAGCUACAAGAAAAAUCUUACAGUAAAGGAUGAUCAUGACCAGAGUGGGGAUGAAGAACAACAGAAAAUCUACUAGCACCCAAUUUUGAUUCACAUAAACCUGACAAGUCCCUACACAGGUAAAUAACCAAAGAGAUACACAUCUGGACUGAUAUUAGAUUUAAAUUUGGGGAUGAGCAAAAAGGAAAGAUUCUUAUGAGCAUCCAUGGGAGAAGAGGAGAGAAAUAUUUGUCUUUCUGUAUAUGAUCCUUCUACUGACAAGAGAAAUUGGAAUUUGAACUGUAUUGAGUGAAAAGCUCAUUCCACAGAGUCACCAAGCUAGAGAUAAGUGGUCAUGAUAGACAAAUGCAAUUUUCUUGGAGAAGAAUGGGUUGGAAAAGCAUUUAUUAAGCACUUUUAUGGACCAAGCAUUUUGAAAGACAAGAAAGAGGAAGGACUGGAAAGUAACAAUUCUAUGAACAAGAGACAAACACUUUGUUUUUUCAUGAAGAAGAAGAAGAAGAUGUAGACCAGAUCCUUGACUGGAUGCCAUUUUGCAGAUCAACUUCACUAGAGAAGGAUACAACUCUGUAGAGGAGAGCAUAACAGAUUUGGAUGGAACAGUUCUAGCAGCAUUAGUGGCAGGAUUGGACCCCAGCCCUUUGAAUAGCCUGUCUCUGCAAUACAUGAUUAGUACUGUAUUUGAUAAUGGCAGAGGGAACCAUAAGCAGAGUGGUCUGCCCUUUUAGGUAGCAGAUAGAUUGCCCAUGGUUUCUCAUUGGGAGCUCAACGGUACUAGGUCCUCAUUCUGUUUGGUAAAAGGCUUAUAUAACAAUAUUGAACUGGACACUAUUUUUCCACAAAAGUCAUUUAGAGAGAAAAUAUGAAAACUAAAAAUUUCAAUCCACCCCCCCGCCUCUACCCCUUCCCUCCCCGGCCCACUCUGUCUUUCACUUUUACAUAAACAAGAUAACUCAGUGAGAGCUUAAAUAAUAAUUGCUAACAUUUAUAUAGAACUGUAAGUUUUGCAAAACAUUUUACAAAUGUUAUCCCAUUUGAUCUUCACAACAAUGCUGGUAGAGAGGUAUUACUAUUAUCUCCAUUUUAUAGAUGAGGAAACUGGGGCAAAGGCUAAAUAACUUCCCUAGUCACACAGAUAUUAAGUUUCUGGGGCUGGGUUUAAAUUAAAAUCUUCUUGAUUUCAGGUCCAGGGUUUCAUCUGGUGUGCCAUCUAGCUGUCUCUCUUUCCUGGAUGCCCUUGGGCAGUAUUGGAAAGCAGAGUUGGUCAGUCCUUAGAACCAGGCUUAGGAAGGCUCAGUAGCAUAACUGAGUUAGACUCUGAUGACAAAUUGUUCUUAGAAAAUAUAUCUAGCUCCUACAAGAAGUUCCAAGGCUGACAUGCAUGUGUAUCAAAUUACAAGCAAGACAAAAAUUAGCUCACAUUUUGACAUACAUAUUUAUUAGGUCCCUUUCUACAAAUCACAGUACAAAAAGAAUCAGGUUUCCUAAUGUGCCUGGUGUACUCUGAAAUGGACAAAAACUAGUAAAACUUUUCAAUGUUUUAA